rnacentral:tRNA from 1 species
GGUGAGUUGGUAUAAUAGGGCGUAUUACACAUAUUAAAUUGAUUAUGUAAUGUAGGUUCGAAUCCUACACUCACCGCCA